AGUGAACGCUGGCGGUAGGCCUAACACAUGCAAGUCGAACGGCAGCACAGUAAGAGCUUGCUCUUACGGGUGGCGAGUGGCGGACGGGUGAGGAAUACAUCGGAAUCUACUUUUUCGUGGGGGAUAACGUAGGGAAACUUACGCUAAUACCGCAUACGACCUACGGGUGAAAGCAGGGGAUCUUCGGACCUUGCGCGAUUGAAUGAGCCGAUGUCGGAUUAGCUAGUUGGCGGGGUAAAGGCCCACCAAGGCGACGAUCCGUAGCUGGUCUGAGAGGAUGAUCAGCCACACUGGAACUGAGACACGGUCCAGACUCCUACGGGAGGCAGCAGUGGAGAAUAUUGGACAAUGGGCGCAAGCCUGAUCCAGCCAUACCGCGUGGGUGAAGAAGGCCUUCGGGUUGUAAAGCCCUUUUGUUGGGAAAGAAAAGCAGCAGGUUAAUACCCCGCUGUUCUGACGGUACCCAAAGAAUAAGCACCGGCUAACUUCG
rnacentral:rRNA from 1 species